CGCACGCAGACGCCGCUGCUUGGGGCCCGGUCAUGUGGGGCUACCGCGGGCUGAGCUGCGCAGGCCGGGUUCUGCUUGGUGUCCCGCGGGCGGCCGGGGGCUGGACCAGCGGCCGCCGCCCGCUGCAGCCCGGUCUGAGAACUGUAAAUGUGAUCUUUCGUAAUCUUGACACUGCUGCUGAUUGUAGUGUUUCCUAUAAAGAACUCAAAGGCUUGCUAAAAUCCCAAACAACUCUUAUUGAUGUUCGAGAGAAGUGGGAAAUUGGACAGUUUGGAAAAAUUCCUGGAUCCGUCAACAUACCAUUGGGUGAGGUUGUGGAAGCUCUACAGAUGAACCCAAAAGACUUUAAAGAACGGUACAAUCAAGAUAUGCCUGCUAAAUCCGACCAUCUAGUCUUUUCCUGCAUGGCAGGAGUGCGAAGCAAGAAGGCAUUGGAUAUUGCUAUGUCUUUGGGCUUCAGCAGAGAAUUUGGUGGGAUGCAAUCCCAUACUCAAGAUGUCCCCUACACCUCCAACUGCCAGAAGUAUUUGGCACUAGCCACUGUCAGAGACCAGAUAUUGGGCUAGAUGGACCGUAGGUCUGACCUAGUAUGGACGUUAUCAUCUUCAGGGUACAGAGUUCAGCACUAUGCUGGUGGCUUGGAGGAGUGGGCAAAGUAUGAACCACCAGAGAAAAAACAAUGAUGAUGAAUUUUGGAAUAUGCCUUGUUACAUAAUGUCCUGAAAUUUACACAAGCCUAGUAAUAUCUUGUAUGAAAUAAGAUUGAGAAUGUAGUGUGAAGGGGAAUGAUUGUUUAUAUAUGUAAAGUUAAUACACACUGUUAAAUGUAGCUGAUUAUUCUGAAUUUAAAUUGAUUGAGAGUUGAAGAUUACACGAGUAGACUGUUCAUUCUCCUUUGGUCAUAUGUUAAAAUUACUGUGGAACUACUCCAUGAAGAAAACUUAAAGCUAUGGACUUCAAUGUAAAAACUGAACUGUACAUACUGUACCAAUAUGAUAUAUACAACAGGGGAUCAUGAUUAAACUUAUGGUGAGGCGUAA